rnacentral:rRNA from 1 species
AUUGAACGCUGGCGGAAUGCUUUACACAUGCAAGUCGAACGGCAGCACGGGGGCAACCCUGGUGGCGAGUGGCGAACGGGUGAGUAAUACAUCGGAACGUGCCCAGUCGUGGGGGAUAACGUAGCGAAAGUUCCUCUAAUACCGCAUACGAUCUACGGAUGAAAGCGGGGGACCGUAAGGCCUCGCGCGAUUGGAGCGGCCGAUGUCGGAUUAGGUAGUUGGUGAGGUAAAGGCUCACCAAGCCGACGAUCUGUAGCUGGUCUGAGAGGACGACCAGCCCCACUGGGACUGAGACACAGCCCAGACUCCUACGGGAGGCAGCAGUGGGGAAUUUUGGACAAUGGGCGCAAGCCUGAUCCAGCCAUUCCGCGUGCAGGACGAAGGCCUUCGGGUUGUAAACUGCUUUUGUACGGAACGAAAAGGCUCUGGUUAAUACCUGGGGCUCAUGACGGUACCGUAAGAAUAAGCACCGGCUAACUACGUGCCAGCCGCCGCGGUAA